rnacentral:tRNA from 1 species
GUGGGUAUAGCUCAGUGGUAGAGCAUUUUACUGCAGAUCAAGAGGUUCCUGGUUCAAAUCUGGGUGCCCCCU